UUAACUGUGAGCGUGCGGGCGAUACGGGCGGACUUGAGUACUGCAGGGGAGACUGGAAUUCCUGGUGUAGCGGUGGAAUGCGCAGAUAUCAGGAGGAACACCGGUGGCGAAGGCGGGUCUCUGGGCAGUAACUGACGCUGAGGAGCGAAAGCGUGGGGAGCGAACAGGAUUAGAUACCCUGGUAGUCCACGCCGUAAACGGUGGGUACUAGGUGUGGGUUUCCUUCCUUGGGAUCCGUGCCGUAGCUAACGCAUUAAGUACCCCGCCUGGGGAGUACGGCCGCAAGGCUAAAACUCAAAGAAAUUGACGGGGGCCCGCACAAGCGGCGGAGCAUGUGGAUUAAUUCGAUGCAACGCGAAGAACCUUACCUGGGUUUGACAUGCACAGGACGCCGGCAGAGAUGUCGGUUCCCUUGUGGCCUGUGUGCAGGUGGUGCAUGGCUGUCGUCAGCUCGUGUCGUGAGAUGUUGGGUUAAGUCCCGCAACGAGCGCAACCCUUGUCUCAUGUUGCCAGCGGGUAAUGCCGGGGACUCGUGAGAGACUGCCGGGGUCAACUCGGAGGAAGGUGGGGAUGACGUCAAGUCAUCAUGCCCCUUAUGUCCAGGGCUUCACACAUGCUACAAUGGCCGGUACAAAGGGCUGCGAUGCCGCGAGGUUAAGCGAAUCCUUUUAAAGCCGGUCUCAGUUCGGAUCGGGGUCUGCAACUCGACCCCGUG
rnacentral:rRNA from 1 species